rnacentral:rRNA from 1 species
UAAAGCUAAGAAAGGGCGUACGGAGGAUGCCUAGGUAGUAAAAGCCGAAGAAGGACGUGAUAAGCUGCGAAAAGCUAGGGGGAGUUGCACAUGAACAAAGAUCCCUAGAUAUCCGAAUGGGAGAACCUGUAUAUUAGGAGAAUAUACACGAAAGAGGUAAGCCCGUGAACUGAAACAUCUAAGUAACGGGAGGAAAAGAAAGUAAAAACGAUUUUCUAAGUAGCGGCGAGCGAACGGGAAGGAGCCUAAACCAUAGUGGUGAAAAAGUUGGCGACGAUGCCAUUAUGGGGUAGAGGGGCUACAAGCACAGAUAGCCAUGAAGUGAGUUAUGUAUAUACUGUAAGAGGAAUAUAGUUGGAAAGCUAAACCAAAGAAGGUGAUAGUCCUGUAGGAUGUAGAGUAUAUAUGUAUAGAGUAGAACCCCGAGUAGCAUCAAGCACGAGGAAUUUGGUGUGAAUCAGUGAGGACCAUAUCUCAUAAGGCUAAAUACUUUUACUAACCGAUAGUGAAGAGUACCGUGAGGGAAAGGUGAAAAGAACCCUGAGUAAGGGAGUGAAAUAGAAUUUGAAACCGUACGCUUACAAGCGGUAGGAGCAGGGUAACCUGUGACUGCGUGGAUUUUGGUUAAUCAUCCUGCGAGUUAUGAUAUAUGGCAAGGUUAAGGAAAGCGGAGCCGAAGGGAAACCAAGUCUUAAAAGGGCGAAAGUCGUAUGUCAUAGACGCGAAACCUAGUGAUCUAGGCCUGUCCAAGUUGAAGCUAAGGUAAGACUUAGUGGAGGACUGAACUCACCGCCGUUGAAAUGAUGGGAGAUGAGAUAGGUUUAGGGGUGAAAAGCCAAUCGAACUAGGAGAUAGCUCGUUCUCUCCGAAAUGCAUUUAGGUGCAGCCUUAAUAGAAGAUAUGUGGGGGUAGAGCACUGUAUGGCCUAGGGGGCGUAUAGCUUACUGAAGUCAAGCAAACUACGAAUACCAUAUAUUAAUAAUUGGGAGUGAGUCUAUGGAUGACAAGGUCCAUGGACGAGAGGGAAAAAGCCCAGAACAACAGCUAAGGUCCCGAAUUAUGUCUAAGUGGGAAAGGAGGUGGAUAUUCCCAGACAACCAGGAGGUUGGCUUAGAAGCAGCCAAGCCUUAAAAGAGUGCGUAAUAGCUCACUGGUCGAGAGUAUCUGCGCCGAAGAUUUAACGGGGCUAAGACAUAAACCGAAGCUUUGUAACAUAAUGUAAGUUAUGUUGGUAGGAGAGCGUUCUGUAAGCCGUAGAAGGAGGAUUGAAAGAGAAUCUGGAGGUAUCAGAAGUGAGAAUGCAGGAAUGAGUAGCGAGAAAGAGGGUGAGAAUCCCUCUGACCGGAAGUCCAAGGAUUCCAGGGGAAGGUUUGUCCGCCCUGGGGGAGUCGGGACCUAAGGAUAAACAGAAAUGUGAAGCCGAAUGGAAAAUAGGUAAAUAUUCCUAUACCACUUAAUUAACGAUUGAAGGGAUGGAGUGACGCAGGAAGGUAUGUAAGAUGACUGACGGAAUAGUCAUUUUAAGGAAGAAGUAUGGGUUUACAGGAAAAGCCGUAGACUUAAAUAUGAGAACUGAAGAGUAAGCAUAUGUAAAGUAUGUAAGUUACAAAUCCUACACUGCCGAGAAAAACUUCUACUGAGGAGAUUAAGUGCCCGUACCGUAAACCGACACAGGUGGACAGGGUGAGAAACCUAAGGUCGACAGGCUAACUCUAGCUAAGGAACUCUGCAAAAUAGCCCCGUAACUUAGGGAGAAGGGGUACCUAUGAAAGUGAGUAAAGAGACAUUACGAGCAAGAGUAGGUCGCAGUGAAGAGUCCCAAGCAACUGUUUACCAAAAACACAGGUCUAUGCUAAGCCGGAAGGCGACGUAUAUGGGCUGACACCUGCCCAGUGCUGGAAGGUUAAGAGGAGGAUUGAGAGAUUCGAAUUGAAGCCCCAGUGAACGGCGGCCGUAACUAUAACGGUCCUAAGGUAGCGAAAUUCCUUGUCAGGUAAGUUCUGACCUGCACGAAUGGUGCAAUGAUUUGGGAGCUGUCUUGGCUGGAGGCCUGGUGAAGUUGUAAUAGCGGUGAAGAUACCGCUUACCUGCAGUAGGACGGAAAGACCCCGUGGAGCUUUACUGUAGUUUGGCAUUGGGUUUUGGCAAUGUGUGUAUAGGAUAGUUGGGAGACUAAGAGAUAUGUACGCAAGUAUGUAAGGAGUCAAUGUUGGAAUACCAACCAUAUAUUGUUGAAAUUCUAAUCAAGCAAUUGAGACAGUGCUAGAUGGGCAGUUUGACUGGGGCGGUCACCUCCAAAAGAGUAACGGAGGUGUUCAAAGGUUCCCUCAGGUUGGAUGGAAAUCAACCAGAGAGUGUAAAGGCACAAGGGAGCUUGACUGCGAGACUGACGGGUCGAGCAGGUACGAAAGUAGGACUUAGUGAUCCGGUGGUACUGAAUGGAAAGGCCAUCGCUCAACGGAUAAAAGCUACCCCGGGGAUAACAGGCUGAUACUUCCCAAGAGUCCAUAUCGACGGAAGUGUUUGGCACCUCGAUGUCGGCUCGUCUCAUCCUGGGGCUGGAGAAGGUCCCAAGGGUUGGGCUGUUCGCCCAUUAAAGAGGCACGCGAGCUGGGUUCAGAACGUCGUGAGACAGUUCGGUCCCUAUCCACUGCAGGCGUAAAGAGUAUUGAGAAGAACUGUCCUUAGUACGAGAGGACCGGGAUGGACGAAUCACUGAUGUACCAGUUGUAUCGCCAGAUGCAUAGCUGGGUAGUCACAUUCGGAAGGGAUAAUCGCUGAAAGCAUCUAAGUGAGAAGCCCCCUUCAAGAUAAGUGCUCGAUGAGUACCCACCGAGACUAGGUGGUAGAUAGGCUAGGGGUGUAAGUGUAGUGAUACAUUUAGCUGACUAGUACUAAUGAUACGACUGCUUUAGAAA